rnacentral:lncRNA from 1 species
UCAAAUUGAAAAUACCGCUUGAAAAAGGAAAAAAAACAUUAAUUUUUGUCCAAUUCAAACCCUAGAAGGCAGGCCUUUGUUGAAAAGGAGAUCUACUCAAAGCAGCAAGCUGUUGUUCGAGUUUGGUUUAAGGUGCGUUUGGUUCCCCCAGGCCCCAACUAAUGCAAUUAGUGUGAUUUCUUUUAAAUUCAAGGUUGUGCUUAGAAGUUAGAUCAUGCAUUGAACUAUUAUUUUGUCUUUUUAACAAUAUAGGUAGUGAUCAUGUUAUUUGCUGAUAGCAUUUCUAUGGACAAAUGUAAUGAUUGUAUAUUUAGGAGAAAUCAAACUCUAAUUCAAGUUUAUGUACUACUUGACGUUGUACAUAUGAAGAUUCUUCAAAUUGGGAAUCAUUAGUUGGUAAAAUAUUAUGAAAUGAAUUUUGAUUUAUGCGUAAUCUGUUAGUGGACCAUAAUUCAUGGAUUUUGUGUUUGUAAACACGAGUUGGCAGAUUUUAUAUGAAAUUCGUAAAAGCUGAAUCUUGGAAAUUAAAAGUAUAAUUACAAAUGUCGUAUUCCUUCAUCAGUUGAAAUAGUUUUAUGACCCCAUUACUCCAAAACAUUAGUCUCAACUACUCUUCCAAGGUUGGGGUACCUUGUGAAAGGAGGUGUGUGUUGUAAUUCUGUAAUUAAGCACACUUAGAGGGGGUGAAUAGUAAGCAGAUUAUUAAAAUGUAUAACAGAAACAAAAGAAUAAUAAAUCACAUCAAGAUUUUUAUGUGGUUCAGCCCUAUCCUUUACUCUAGUGGCCUAAUCCACGUCUAAUACCAAAUGGUAUUGGAGACUCUUUUUUAUUAAACUUUAAUAUUCAAAAGAUUACAGAAAACUCCCUGUACAACGAAGAUCGAUUCCGACUUGGACACCUCUGCCACUUUGCACCUCUGCAACUUCUCUCACCUCUGAGACCUUGAUGCUACUAUGUUUACAAUAGAUAUUAAAAGAAGAAAUACAAUAACUACACUGUAAACUGAGAUCUAAAGAAUGAUAUAGUGACUUGUAUCUAUCUCGAAUUAGUUUUCUGAUGAGUUUCUGUUCUGCAGUCCUGUGUCCCCUUUGAGCCGAGCAACCAGUAUAUAUAAACGAGAGAAGAGCAACGACUAGAACAAGCAACGACUAGUUCUUAAUUGAAAUAGGAGAUAUACGUUAGCAAUAAAAUCUCAUCCUAUUAUAAAAUCUAACAGAUAAAAUAUGUAACAAUAUAAAACAGCUCAGUAGAUAUAUACUCCCUCCGUCCCAGGAUAAAAGUCCUUAUUACUAUUUUGGGUUGUCCCAUGUUAAAUGUCUACUUUCUUUUAAUAACCAAACUUUUACACAUUUGUUCCUAUUAUGUCCGUAGCAUUAAAUAUCUCAUACUUUUCUUAUUCUAAUUCUCUCUCCAUAUUUAAUGACAUUAUUAUGGAUAAUUUUGUUAUUUUAUUCCUCUUCUUAAUAUGCGUGAAAAGUCCACCAGGACUUUUAUCCUGGGACGGACGGAGUAUGAGAUAUACUGCUAUGAAGGAGUCAAAUAAUAUCCAAAGUUUAGCUGAAAGAGUCCAACUAGCUGUUAGCAACUUUGAAUGAGAUUCCUUAAAUAUACCAACUCCUAGAAAAUCUCCAAACCAAUAUUCGAUAACCAUAUAUAUAUAUAUAUAUAUAUCAAAAAUAUGAGGAACUUGAGGAAUAUUAAACAGAUCUAGAUAUAAACAUAUAUUUCCUAGUUAUAUUAGUUUCCAUAAAAAAUUGAAGCACGUGGCAAAGAGCUACCAUACAAAUUGAUUAUCGACCCAUUUCAAAAUCUAUUCAGCCCAUUUAAUAACUUAUAUUCUCUAGCAUAUUGUUAUCAUUAAAAUUAUAAAAUAUAAAAACCAACAUUCUUCACCUUUUUGAUGAUGACAAUAUAUUAAACUUUGUAAUCAACAUGCUCCUUCUAAGUAUAUGGCUCCCCCUAAAUUUAUGCAUAUUAAGGAGCAAAAAAAAGACUUGAUCCAAAUAACCAUCAUUGCAUAACAUGAAUACCAAUUCAAAUCAAUUCAAAUACCAAAUAUCUCUCCCCCUUUGUCAUUAUAAAAAAAAAUAAGACUAUGCAUAUUAAUCAUUAAGCACAAGUUGAUUAUAGCAUAAUCAACUUGUAAUCAACAUGCUCCCUCUAAGUAUAUGGCUCCCCCUAAAUUUAUGCAUAUUAAGGAGCAAAAAAAAGACUUGAUCCAAAUAACCAUCAUUGCAUAAAAUGAAUACCAAUUCAAAUCAAUUCAAAUACCAAAUAUCUCUCCCCCUUUGUCAUUAUAAAAAAAAAAUAAGACUAUGCAUAUUAAUCAUUAAGCACAAGUUGAUUAUAACAUAAUCAUCAUUACCCAAAUAUCUCUUCCCCUUUGUCAUCAACAAAAAGUAACAAAAUCAAUAUAUAGCAAAUAAACAAAAUGAUCAUACCUUUGCGAUUUGUUACAUAUAUAUACCAACAUUUUGUUACCAAUAAUAAACUUGAUAAUUGAGCUCCUUAGUGUAGUCUCUCAAAGUAAAGUAUUAUUCGUCUCCAUUUUGACCUUGAGAUAUCUACAAAACAAACAAAUCGUCUCUACCUUUUUGGUACCCAAAUCUUCUUGGGUCCUUUUGUGUUAGUAGCAUAUAAAUCACAUUUCUUUACCCAAAUUUGUUUUAUUCUAAUUUUAUUACAAUUAGAAUCAAAAUGUCCUUUAAAACCACAUUUUUUACAAGUAACAAACGGUGAACAAUAAAGUGGCUUAAACCUUGUUUUACUAUUAAUCAUUCUAAUAUUAUCAUUAAUUCUAUUUUUCACAUUUUUAAUAGGAUUAUACCUAAUUCCUUGUUUAUCGGACUAGACCUUUGUGCCCCUAACAUAACAUUUAGGUUCUCUUCUCCUUGCACAAAUUUAGCAAGAUCAUUUUUUAAAGAUGUUAUUUCUGCAUUUGUUAUAUUAUCAUCAUGUUGAACAUUCAUCAUUUUUCCAUCAUUAAAAGCAUCUAUACAUGCAUCUCUCAUUUUCAAUUUUUUUUAACACUUCAUUUUCAUUUUUAAGAUAUUCAUUUUUUUUUUCUCUUUAAUACGUGACUUAACUUCAUUCAUUAGCUCAUUUACACAAUUCUUAAAAUAGGUAGUUUUCUUUUUGAGCUGUUGAUUUUUAUUUUGUAAAGCAAUAUAAUCAGGCAUAUAUAUUUCAAAAGCUUCAUGAAAAUUUGUUAUCUCAAGUUGAUCAUCAUUUUCUAGUCCCAUGAAACAGAGUUGGACAGUUUCUUCUUCUUGUUUCGUUUUGGACUUGCUCACUAGAGUUGAGCUACCUUUUUGAUUUUUCCUUUGUUUCUUCCUUUGAAGUAGUCUCUCGAGUUUUCUUGAGAGCAUUUCAAUUUCUUCAUCAAAAUCUUCGUGAUUACUUUUAUUGUUGCUCUCGACUUGAAGUGCCAAUGUCUUCUUUAUUGGUGCUUCAUCUUCUUCAUCAUACCUUCUUAACUGAUUUUCAAAUUCUUCAAGCUCUCUAAAUAAAGUGAGAGUUUCCAUUGUUUGUUGUUGAAUCUUGAAGAGUUGUAACCUUUGGUGCGAAUCCUUUAGGCAUGACUCUAAGUAUCCUUCUGUUUAUCUCCCUUUGAUCAAUUUUCAGUCCCUUUGAUCAAUUUCCUAGUUCAUUAGAGUAAGAAAUCUCCCUUGAGCUUCAUUAAUUGUUUCAUCCUUUUCUAACUUGAAUAGCUCAUAGUCUUGCAUUAGCAGUACUUAACUUCACCUCUUUUACUUUGGAAGUACCUUUGUGGCUUGUCAAGAUAGUAUCCCACAUUUCUUUUGCUGUGUUGCACGAUGAUACUUUAUCAAUUUCAGCUUGGACCAUUCCGCUUAGCAAGGUGUUCAUGGCUCUUGAGUUGUAAGAAAACAUGUAGCUUUCAUUUUCAUCCAUGUCCAUGAGAGUCUUGAGUCUACCAUCAUCAGGUCUAGGAAUAACUGGUCUAUUUUCAACAACCCCCAUUCCCAUGGGUCUCGUUUGAGAUAGAUCAUCAUUCUAAACUUCCAAAAGUUGAAGUUUUCACUUCCGAGCAACAAAGGUGGUCGGCUUGUAGAUUGACCUUCUUGAAAAUAGAGGUGUGCCAUAGGAUCAUUCCCUACAACCUGCAAAGAUCAAUAUUAGUAGAGCCUUGUUUUGAUACCAAAUGUAAUUCUGUAAUUAAGCACACCUAGAGGGGGUGAAUAGGUGUAAAUACCAAAAAAUGAUCUACAGUGGUCAAUUUUUAAAGUUUACUACUGCAAGUUAUAAUUGGACGAUCUAACCCUGUCCGUAUUAGUUAUGUUCUUCGUCUGUUAUAAACGGGCAACUAAUACCUGUCUGUUUUAGUAUAUAUUCUUCGUCUGUUAUAAUCAGACAGCUAAUACCUGUCGGUUUUAGUAUAAUUUUUGACUACGACUAAAACCAAAAAUUGCAAAUUAUUAAAACGUAUAACAGAUCAAAAGAACAAUAAAUCACACUAAAAUUUUUACGUGGUUCAGCCCCUAUCUUCUACUCUAGCGACCUAAUCCACGUCCAAUACCAAAUGGUAUUGGAGACUCUUUUUAUUAAACUUUAAUAUUCAAAAGAUUACAGAAAACUCCCUGUACAACGAAGAUCAAUUAUGACUUGGACACCUCUGCCCCCUUUGCACUUCUGCAACUUCUCUAACUUCUCUCACCUCUGAGACCUUGAUGCUUCUGUUGUACAGACUGAAUAUUAAAUGAUCACCCAAGCCAACCUAGACUUGUACUAUGUUUACAAUAGAUAUUAAAAAAAGAAAUACAAGAACUACACUGUAAACUGAGAUCUAAAGAAUGAUAUAGUGACUUGUAUGUAUCUCAGAUUAGUUUUCUGAUGAGUUUCUGUUCUGCAGUCUUGUGUAGAACAAGCAACGACUAGUUCUUCUUAAUUGAAAUAGGAGAUGUACGUUAGCAAUAAAAUCUCAUCCUGCUCUAAAAUCUAACAGAUAAGAUAUAUAACAAUAUAAAACAGUUCAAUAGAUAUAUAUGAGAUAUACUGCUAUGAAGGAGUCAAAUAAUAUCCAAAGUCUAGCUAACAGAGUCCAACUAGUUGUUAGCAACUUUGAAUGAGAUUCCUUAAAUAUACCAACUCCUAGAAAAUCUCCAAACCAAUAUUCGAAUUGGUAACCAUAUAUAUAUAUAUAUAUAUAUAUAUAUAUAUAUAUAUAUUAGAAAGAUAUCCCAGUAAUUCAAAAAUAUGAGGAACUUGAGGAAUAUUAAACAGAUUUAGAUAUAAACAUAUAUUUCCUAGUUCUAUUAGUUUCCAUAAAAAACUGAAGCACGUGGCAAAGUGCUACCAUACAAAUUGAUUAUCAACCCAUUUCAAAAUCAAUUCAGCCCAUUUAAUAACUUAUAUUCUCUAGCAUAUUGUCAUCAUUAAAAUUACAAAAUAUAAAAACCAACAUGUGUGGGUUGCCCUACUCUGAGUCAGGUACUACUAUGUUACUUUGUUGAAGAUUAGAUACACACACACUGGCAAACACAUGCACAUUUUGAUGGCUGAGAGGUUAGCGAGUAUGAGUCACUUGAGAAGUCUUGAUCAUUUGGACCAAAAUAGGGAUUACACGAGUAAUGAAUUGGCUUCAUAUUUAUCACAUCACAAUCUUUUGGCUCCUGAGUUUAUGCAUUUAUGUUCCUUGUGCAGUUUUACCUUUUAAUUUUCCUCCCUUUCUGAGUGUACUGUGUAUUGAAUGAAUCAAUUUUUUUUUCUUCUUUCCCUUUUCAAUUGUUUGCUGGUGGUGGCUAAAUAAAUGCUUGGCAAUUGAUUUUUGCUUAAAUCACCAUGUUGUCCCACUUAUAUCAAAUUUUGAUAGUCCAGACUAGCACUUCUUCAUUUAUAAAUCCUCUUUUACUUUUUGGUUUAAUUCCGUUUGUAUUGAUGCUAGGCAAAAGGCAAAAUUUGUUCCCAUCACUUCUGGAGAAUGGGUCGAUUUUUUUAUUAAGUUUUUAAUUUUUAAUUUAUAUUUCCAGGUGAUUGGUUGGACUGUAGGAGGUUAAAAUUUCUUAGCACAUAGUCUGCAUUGUGCUGCGACCUUGAAUAUAUAUAUAUUUUAAUCUUCAAUUGAUUUCAGGAACCUAUCAUACAAAGCCUUGCAACAAGACAUGCAUUCAAGUGCCAGCUAUAUACUUCAGCAUGUUUAAGAUACUUACUGCAGCCGGGGUGGAUGGAGUAGAAGGGCAAUGCCUAUGCUGCCUUUUUUUUUUAUAGGUAUAGGGGGCAGAAUUUAUAAGUUAAUAAACUCAAGGGGGCAGAUUAAUAGAAAGUUAAACUUGUUGGGGGCAAAAGAAAACAGUUCCAUUCUAAUUUAAUUCAACAAAGUAAAGAUUAUAGAGUCAGAGAGGCGAGAGCAUACUUGAAAGAACUCGUUUCUCUGCUUUACUUCUUGGCUGAAAAACUGAAACACCGCGAGUUUGUGACCACUGCGACUUCUCCUUUUCUCAGCGACGACCACCGUGACCUCGUCUCCUCUUCUCAUUUCAUUGCAGUCUCUACUCUCUAGUCUCUUCCCUUGCCCCAUGCGCAUUAGAAGGUAACUAAAUUAUAGCUUUUUUUUUGUUUGAUACUUUAAAAUUUGUAGUUUGUUUGAAUUUGUUGUUGGUUGGAGACUUGGGGUUAAACUUUAUUCAAUUUAUUUGAUGUAUUUGUUGUAUUUUGAACUUAAGAGGUAACUAAUUAGGGCUUUUUUUUGUUUGAUAGUUUAAAGUUUAAAUUUAUUUGAAUUUGUUGUGGGUUGGGGUUAAAUAAAUAUGCAGUUAUGCACUUCAUUUUUUUUUUAAUUUAUUAUGUUUGUGAAUUGUGAGUUGAUUUUGACUGUUCUGGCUUGAUUUUGUUUGAAUAUAGAAGGCAAAUUUGGUUCGAGGCUUUGUGCAUACGGUUGAAAUUGUAAUUGUUUGGAGAAUCAUUCAAAUUGAGUUAUGACAAGUAACCGAAGUAAAAUUUUAAAUUUUAUCUAAAUGUUUUUUAUUUUGAAAUUCCUUUUUUAGUUUGGGUUAUGAUUUAUGAAUAUUUAUUUAUUGUAUAUUAUAGAAUUCUAUUUAUGUUGCAUAAAAUAAUUGUUUGUUUGGGGUUGUAUACUUGUAUCUUGAUUGAUUUAGGUAUUCGUGACAUGUGGUCAAAAUUCAAAUGUUCCAAAACUGAGUCAUCAACAUCACAAUCCAUACGAGUCAAUAAGACAACUCAAAAUCUCUCAAAACCCCUAUCCAAGAACAAUCUCAAAAUAUCAAUUCUCAAUCCCAAGUUGAAUUCAAUUUAGAAGAACUUGUUGCAGAUUCGGGACUAAGACCAUCUAUAAUGAAAUAUGAUGCUAAGGAAUUUAAUAAUUGGAGGAAGACGAAAUACUUAUUUGAACAUGUUGGAGAGUCACCUAAUAGUAUUCAUAGACAAUGCAUGGUAGCUUGUCACGAUUUGAGGAACCGAAAGCAACACAGAUAUAGCAAACUUGUCAAUAUAUCUGACCAAGAAAAAAAAGAUUGCAAUCUUCGUUUGGUCUCAUCUAUUAAGUGUGUUUGGUUGCUUUUAAGUGAAGGGUUACCUUUCUGUGGCCAUGAUGAAUCAGAUGCUUCAAAAAGGUGAGAUUUGUUUAUUUCGAUUCUAAAGUUUUUAUCCGAGAAUAAUGAUGUAGUGAAUAAAGUUGUGUUGAAAAAUGCUCCAGGGAACCACAAAUUGACAUCACCUUUAAUCCAAAAAGACAUUUGUAGUGCCGCUACAUUUUUGACCAUAAAAGCUAUAGUUGUAGAGAUUGGGGGUAAUUUUUUCUCUUUGUUAGUUGACGAGGCUCGUGAUUAGACCUGGCAAACGGGCCCAAAGCCCGCGGGACGGCCCGCCCGCCAAAAAGCGGGCUUUGGGCCGCAUUUUUUUGGCCCAUAGAAUUCCUGGCCUUUUUGGCCCGGCCCAGCCCGCGCCCGCCUGUUCACUUUUGGGCCCAAAAAAUGUCAAAAAAAUAAGCAUAAAACACUCUCGGCCCGCCCGUGAACCUGCGGGCUUUGGGCUUACAUUUUACGGCCCGUCAAAACCCGGGCCGUUUUGGCCCGGGCCGUCAGAGGCCCGACCCACGCCCGCCCGCCCGUUUGCCAGGUGUACACUUUACAAAUAUAAAAUCACAAUUAAAAUCAAAAACAAAACAANNNNNNNNNNNNNNNNNNNNNNNNNNNNNNNNNNNNNNNNNNNNNNNNNNNNNNNNNNNNNNNNNNNNNNNNNNNNNNNNNNNNNNNNNNNNNNNNNNNNUUUUACAACACAUGGAUUGAGCAUGUCACGUGUACGUAGGCAAGGAUAUAAUGAAGCUAGUAACAUGCGAGAGGAAUUCAAUGGUCUCAAGAGUUUUAUUUUGUCAGAGAAUAAGUCUGCUUUUUAUGUUCAUUGUUUGGCUCAUCACCUUCAAUUGGCACUUGUAGCAGUUGCAAAAAAACAUAAGAAACUUAAAUCAUUCUUUGAUUAUCUUACAAUUUUGGCAAAUAUUAUUGGAGCUUCUUGCAAGCAUAAAGAAGUUCUUCGAGUGAAGCACAUAGAAAGAAUAAUUCAAGGAGUUACUUAUGGUGAAAUCAAGACCGGGCGUAAGUUGAAUCAAGAAGCGACCUUGAAGCGGCCCGGAGACACACGGUGGAGCUCACAUUAUGACACAAUUCUUAGUGUUUUUAACUUAUUUUCUGAAACAAUUGAAGUGUUUGAGAUAGUAGAAGAUGAUGCAUCGGGGGAUAAAAGUACAGAAGCAGACACUUUGUUGCAUUUCAUGCGAGAUUUUGAUUUUGUAUUCUUGUUGCAUUUAAUGAAAAAAGUUUUGGGAAUCACGAAUACCUUGUCACAAGCAUUACAAAAGAAAGAUCAUAAUCUCGAAAAUGCAAUGACUUUACUUACUGUCUCAAAGCAACGGUUACAAAGCAUGAAAGAUUCGGGUUAGGAGAGUUUGUUGGUAGAAACUACUGAAUUUUGUAAUGUGCAUGGGAUAGUCGUUCGAGAAAUGGAAGGUAUCUUUUUGGUUCAAGGGAAAUCACGUCGGAGUGAAAAAGUCACCAAUCUUCAUCACUUUCAGGAUGAGUUGCUCUAUACAGUGACAGAUUGUCAACUUCAAGAAUUGAAUGAUCGAUUUGACAAUGUUAAUACAGCGUUGCUCUCAUGUAUGGCGUGUCUCGAUCCAAGUAACUCUUUCUCAACAUUUGACAAGGAACGGUUGAUUCAAUUUGCAAAGUUUUACCCAUUGGAAUUUCAAAAUAGAGAUCUUUGGGGGACUGAUGAUGAACUUUAAACUUACAUUGCAGAUAUGAAAAGUAAUCCUGAAUUUUCUAAUGUGAAAGGGAUUGAUGAAUUUGCUCAAAAGUUGGUUAAGAAGAAUAAGGCUGAUUUUUAUCCUCGAGUGUAUUUGAUGUUGAAAUUGGCUUUGAUUUUGCCGGUUGCUAUUGCCUUGGUGGAGAGGAUAUUUUCAGCAAUGAAUAUUAUUAAAACCACUCUCCGAAACCAAAUGGGCGAUAAAUGAUUGAGUGAUUGUUUGGUUCCUUAUAUUGAAAAUGAUGUAUUUGAAACUAUUGAUAAUGAAGCUACCUUAGAACAUUUUCAAGCUAUGUGAGGUCUAGAAGGAUAGCAUUGUAAUUUGUAAACAUUAUUAUGAUUAGUUAAUAUUAUGAUUAGUUCAAGUUUUCUUUAUUUAACUUCAACAAUAAAAAGUUAAAAUCCGCCCAUGCCAGGAAAAAUUCCUGGAUUCGCUCCUGGCUGUAAGAAUGAUGUUUUCACUGCUUUUUAUUUCUCUGUUUGCCAAUGAAGUCACUGUACAUGCAUUAUAUUCCAUGCGUAUGCAAAAAGUAAUAUCUUCUUAAUUCUGUAUGCCUGUGUGUAGGCUUCCUGCUGUAGGUGCUGGUAAACAAGCUCAUCAGACCUUCAUGUCACUAUAUAUGCAUCAGCAACUAUAUAGCAGAAGUUUAUUUUUGUGCUGAAUACCCCAGAAACUGUCAUUUAAAAUGUUAUGGAGGUAGUAUUAAUUUGAGAAAGGUUAAUUUCUUUUGUGCAAUGAUCCAACGAUGUUUUCCUUCUCUCUCCCUCUCUCCCCCCUUUUCUUUAUAAGCUUCUGCCUUUUGUUGUUCAGUUAUUUCCCCUCUUUCUACACUAACAAACUCUGCCUUUCUAUGUUCUUGAAGAAUGUAGUGCAUCUGUGCAUAUGAACUUUUGAGUGAGUAAAUGCGGGUAACAUUGUUAGAAUAUAGCCAAAGAGUUAUCACUAUAUUGGUAUUGUCCAUAAAUGCGCUAGUGGGCUUUGUUUCUUGUAAAUUCGUUCAACUUGUAUGUGAAUCAACCCAUUUGCUAACAUAGUUAUGCAUAUCUGGACCUGUAGUCAAGUCAACCACGAGAGUGAUUGCCUACUAUUAUAAUGAUCUAGAAUUCUUUUAGUCCUUAGUCAUGCAAUUUUUGCUUGCACAAACCAUUUCUUGGAUCUUUCGCUUCAACUCUUAUUGUAAAAGUCGGUGAAAUGCUUACUAAUCUGCAAACAAGUGGUCAUCAUUAACCCUAUCAUAUAUUAGUAGUUGCAUCUUUACUAGGGUUGACCUGUUAAGAAACAAGGUAAGGUCAUUUUCUGUAGUUGUUAAUGUUGACUUAAAUGCAUGUGUACUCACUGUCUAUUUGUUUCUACUAAGUUUUCAGCUUUUUAGCAUUUGACUGAAACUUUUCUCCCCCAUUUAUUAAAGAAGAAUGUAGGAGAGAUUACGCAUAUGUUUUCAACUAAAAAUCUUUUCCAGAAAUUAACCUAUGAAUGUCGAAAAUGACUGGUGAAAAUUUCAUGGGAAUUUAUGCAUCUUGACAGUAUAAAACAAAUGUAAACAUUGUAAUGCAAUUAGAUGCCAAUCCUUAUUUCAAUUUUGUUAGAUUUUAUUCAAUACUCAUCGAUGUCAAAUAUUUCACUAAUUCCUGCUGUCCUCAGGAGUACAUGGUUGUACAAGUAUCUCUCUUACUAUUAAGUAUAUACAUUGUUGUAACUUGACAAAAAAAAAAGAAAAAGAAAAAGAAGUCUAUACAUGUUAUAGAUCUCCUAAGGUGGAAGAACUAGCAAACACUGCUUUGAUAUAAUGCCUCCACAGUUCCACUAGUAGAUAAUUAGAGUUUUUCUCUGUUGCAUUAUAACAAAAUUCUCAAUUUUUCAUAGAUUUCUUAAUCAUUAACGAGUUUUUCACCGAGUAUAAAAACAGAUGAAAAUAAAAAUUUCUCUAUAUUCUGAUCGACCAUCACCUUAGUUUAAUAUGAAUCUUAGUCUAUUUUGAUUAUUGUUUAUAAUAAAAACCGAAGGAUGUCCCCUUUUAUCUGCAAAAGACCUCUUGAUCCUAAACCGCUGUUGGUGGGAAAUAUUUUUAAAUUGAUGUAAAGAUGACCAUGAAGUUCUUGGAUGAAUGUAUGUGAUUUUCUGUCUAAGUAUUUUUCAGGUACCCUUGCUAUGUCAUAUUGAAGCUGUACAAUGUCUUUAAUGCAAUUGUGGAUUUUGUUCUUGCAGAUUGCGCAGAGAGGCAGUGAAAUUUGCAGACAUGAUUUAUAGAGUCGUCGAAAUAUUCGUUCCCCGUUUGCAAUUCCAGGAAUAGAAAAUACAUGCUUGGCGGAGGGGAUCAGGCAGUUAUCAAUGCAUCAUGAUCUGCUUCAGUUGAAAUGGUAACACAUACAGUUUCCUUUCUGAUCAUCCUCUGCAUAAUGGCUCGUGCAAAAAUUAAUUCUUCAUUUGGUCGUGAUAUUCAGAGUUCAAAAUCAUCACCUGCCUUGUUCCCCUUGCAAAUUUCAAAUUUGAACAAAUCAAAAAGAUGAAAAUCAUCUUUCUGAACAUAUUUACAAACCUGUGAGCAAAAUCUUACUGAAUACUGCUUGAGCUAUAUCCUGUAGUUUGUUGGAAACCUUCUUUUUUAUAGUGCUUCAUUUCGUUAAAGAUACAUGCUCAUAUUUUGUGAAUCUACUAUCUCUGUGAUGGUUGUAUUUUCUCUAAGCUUAAUUCUUGAUAGCUGAGCAGAUUAAUUAAUUUCCAU